UGGGGAAUAUUGGACAAUGGGCGAAAGCCUGAUCCAGCCAUGCCGCGUGUGUGAAGAAGGUCUUCGGAUUGUAAAGCACUUUAAGUUGGGAGGAAGGGCAGUAAGCGAAUACCUUGCUGUUUUGACGUUACCGACAGAAUAAGCACCGGCUAACUCUGUGCCAGCAGCCGCGGUAAUACAGAGGGUGCAAGCGUUAAUCGGAAUUACUGGGCGUAAAGCGCGCGUAGGUGGUUCGUUAAGUUGAAUGUGAAAGCCCCGGGCUCAACCUGGGAACUGCAUCCAAAACUGGCGAGCUAGAGAGGGGCAGAGGGUGGUGGAAUUUCCUGUGUAGCGGUGAAAUGCGUAGAUAUAGGAAGGAACACCAGUGGCGAAGGCGACCACCUGGGCUCAUACUGACACUGAGGUGCGAAAGCGUGGGGAGCAAACAGG
rnacentral:rRNA from 1 species